rnacentral:rRNA from 1 species
UACGUAGGGGGCAAGCGUUGUCCGGAUUUAUUGGGCGUAAAGAGCGUGUAGGCGGCCAAACAGGUCAGCUGUGAAAACUCGAAGCUCAACCUCGAGACGUCGGUUGAAACCGUUUGGCUAGAGUCCGGAAGAGGAGAGUGGAAUUCCCGGUGUAGCGGUGAAAUGCGCAGAUAUCGGGAAGAGCACCCGUGGCGAAGGCGGCUCUCUGGGACGGUACUGACGCUGAGACGCGAAAGCGUGGGGAGCGAACAGG